rnacentral:rRNA from 1 species
UUUAAUUCGACGCUACGCGAAGAACCUUUACCUGGGCUCGAACGACUAGUGGUACCUUUAUGAAAGUAGAGGGGACCCGCAAGGGAGCUAGCCGAGGUGCUGCAUGGUUGUCGUCAGCUCGUGUCGUGAGAUGUUGGGUUAAGUCCCGCAACGAGCGCAACCCCUGUCCUGUGUUGCUACUCCGCAAGGAGAGGACUCUCAGGAGACUGCCGUGGAUAACACGGAGGAAGGUGGGAUGACGUCAAAUCAUCAUGGCCUUUAUGUCCAGGGCUACACACGUGAUACAAUGGUACAGACAGAGGGCUGCAAGACCGUAAGGUGGAGCCAAUCCCUAAACUGUAUCCCAGUUCAGAUCGAGGGCUGCAAUUCGCCCUCGUGAAGUUGGAAUCGCUAGUAAUCGCAGAUCAGCAGGCUGCGGUGAAUACGUUCCCGGGCCUU